GAACGGUUUCACCAUGUUGCCCUGGCUGGUCUCAAACUCCUGGAUUCAAGGGAUUCACUCACCUCAGCCUCCCAAAGGGCUGGGAUUAUAGGCGUGAGCCACUGUGCCCGGCCUCCUUGAGCAUUUUUUGUACAACAGUUCACUCACAGUUCAGUUUCAGCUCUUGCUGAGAGGACCUGCCUAAGCCUGCCUGCUCUGUGAAGUCUAACUGUUUAUCAUACCAGAGGGAAGACAUGAAGAACAAACAACUCAGGUGAGUGCGUUGCAAGAAGGUGGCCAUCUGCAAGCCAGGAAAAGGGCCCUUGCCAGAAACUGAACUGACGGGCAUCUUGAUUUUGGACUUCCCAGCCUCCAGAACUGUGAGAAAAUAAAUGUCUUGUUUAAACCACCUAGUCUAUGAUAUUUUGCUACAGCAGCCCACGCAGACUA